GCUGCCCUCGUUGCUGGGACUGUGCAACAUGGGCAUGUGGGCAGUGGGGAGGGGACAGUCAAGUCUGCCUAGACCCAUGCCAAGUUUCCUGUACGAGGUCCUUUCAAAAAGUUCCCACAGGCCAAAUUGAACAAGCGUCUCUACCCACAAAUAGAGCGAGCUCUUGUAUUUGCCGUCUUGUUUUCUCAACCGACACCACCUCCGGAAGCUGAGAGUGACUGUUGGGCUUUUCCAGUGGAUGCUGGAACGCCAUUUGCCCCAGCCGUGGGGGCGGAGGAGGCAGAAUAAUUGUUUGGCUGCAAGAAGCCACACAGGAACCUGGAGAAGAUGUGGGGAUGGUGGUAAGAUGAAGGAGGAGCCUUAACGUGAGCAUCUACCACAGGAGGCAGCCCAGCUCUCCCUGCCCUAGUGGGAGUGAACAUUGCCUCUGACCCAGCUACUCAGAUGCUUGCUACCAGGUUUGUUCUCCAGGCCUACCACAGAUGAGUACCCCACACCCUAACCCAACAUCCCCAAGAAUUAGAGCCCUGGAUCCCUGUACCCCACAGCCACUUGCAUGGCAGGCCCAUACAGAAACAAAACACAAUCACCUUAGACUUUGGCAUACUGAGGCCAGACCCUGACUCCAUCAACCUCACUCUCCUGCCACUAAUCACUCAAUAAAAAUAUUGUUUAAUAAUAUGCCUAUGUUGGG